rnacentral:rRNA from 1 species
GGAGCUUGCUUUAUAUAACUUAGCAGCGAACGGGUGAGUAACACGUAGAUAAUCUAUCCUAUACUGGGGGAUAGCCCGAUGAAAGUUGGAUUAAUACCGCAUAUAGCUAUAUAGUUGCAUGAUUAUGUAGUGAAAGAUUUAUUGGUAUAGGAGGAGUCUGCGGCACAUUAGCUAGUAGGUGAGGUAAAGGCUUACCUAGGCGACGAUGUGUAGCCGGUCUGAGAGGAUGAACGGCCACAAUGGAACUGAGACACGGUCCAUACUCCUACGGGAGGCAGCAGUGGGGAAUAUUGCACAAUGGGGGAAACCCUGAUGCAGCAACGCCGCGUGAGUGAAGAAGGUUUUCGGAUUGUAAAGCUCUGUUAGCAGGGAAGAGGAAGGACGGUACCUGCAGAGGAAGCCACGGCUAACUACGUGCCAGCAGCCGCGGUAAUACGUAGGUGGCAAGCGUUGUUCGGAAUAACUGGGCGUAAAGGAUGCGUAGGCGGUUAAACAAGUUAUAUGUUAAAUAUAUAGGCUUAACCUGUAGAAAGCAUAUAAAACUGUUUAACUAGAGUGCAGGAGAGGUAAGUGGAAUUCCUAGUGUAGCGGUGAAAUGCGUAGAGAUUAGGAAGAACACCAGUGGCGAAGGCGACUUACUGGACUGUAACUGACGCUGAGGCAUGAGAGCAUGGGGAGCAAACAGGAUUAGAUACCCUGGUAGUCCAUGCUGUAAACGAUGGGU